GACGAACGCUGGCGGCGCGCCUAACACAUGCAAGUCGAACGGAGUCAAGAGGAGCUUGCUUUUCUUGACUUAGUGGCGAACGGGUGAGUAACGCGUGAGUAACCUGCCCUGGAGUGGGGGACAACAGUUGGAAACGACUGCUAAUACCGCAUAAGCCCACGGAUCCGCAUGGAUCUGCGGGAAAAGGAUUUAUUCGCUUCAGGAUGGACUCGCGUCCAAGUAUCAAGUUGGUGAGGUAACGGCCCACCAAGGCGACGAUUGGUAGCCGGACUGGGAGGUUGAACGGCCACAUUGGGACUGAGACACGGCGCAGACUCCUACGGGAGGCAGCAGUGGGGGAUAUUGCACAAUGGGGGAAACCCUGAUGCAGCGGCGCCGCGUGAAGGAAGAAGGUGUUAGGAUUGUAAACUCCUGUCGUGAGGGACGAUAAUGACGGUACCUAACAAGAAAGCACCGGCUAACUACGUG
rnacentral:rRNA from 1 species